rnacentral:lncRNA from 1 species
CUCCACCUCAAAAAAAAAAGAAAGAAAAGAAAAACCAAAGGACCAGAAAAAGAGACAGCCUAGCAAGAUAGGAGUCCAUUUGGGGAACUUGGACUUCAAACCCAAACAGCACUUAUGAGGCACCCCUCCUGCUCCUUGCCGAGGUACUACCAGAGGAAGCCUGCUGGAGACUCAGGAUUAACACCACUCAGUGGUAUAUCGGAGCCCAGGCUGGAGUAUAAUGGCGCAAUCUCGGCUCACUGCAACCUCUGCCUCCUGGGAUCAAGCAAUUCUCCUGCCUCAGCCUCCCAAGCAGCUGGGAUUACAGGUACGUGCCACCACGCCCAGCUAAUUUUUUUGUACUUUUAGCAGAGAAAAGGUUUCACCAUGUUGGCCAGGGUGGUCUUGAACUCCUGACCUCAAGUAAGCCACCCACCUUGGCCUCCCAAAGUGCUAGGAUUACAGGUGUGAGCCAUCACGCCCACCCUUUUUUUUUUUUAAGAUAGGGCCUCACUCUUUACCCAGGCUGGAGUGCAGUGGCGCAAUCACAGCUUACUGCAGCUUUGACCUCCUGGGCUCAGGUGAUCCUCCCACCUCAGCCUCCUGAGUUCUGGGACUAUAGGUGCACACCACCACACCCGGCUAAUUUUUGUAUUUUUAGUAGAGACGAGGUCUCACUAUGUUGCUCAGGCUGGUCUCAAACUCCUGGGCUCAAGGGAUCCACCCACCUCAGCUUCCCAAAGUGCUGGGAUUACAUGCAUGAGUCACCCCACCCAGCUGGUAAAAUCUUUAUUUUUAAAUAUGCUACACUGGCAGGCUGCGGUGGUUCACGCCUGUAAACCCAACUUUGGGAGGCCAAGGGGGGUGGAUGCCUUGAGCCGAGGAGUUCAAAACCAGCCUGAGCAACAUAGUGAGACCUCGUCUCUACUAAAAACACAAAAAAUUAGCCGAGCAUGGUGGCACGCGCCUGUAAUCCCAGCUACUGGGGAGGCUGAGGUGGGAGAAUUGCUUGAACCCGGGAGGCGAAGGUUGCUAUGAACUGACAUCACGCCACUGCACCAGGCUUCGGCAACGAAGUGAGACUCUGUCUCUAAAUAAAUAAAUAAAUAUGCUACAUCCAAAAUCUAAUCAAUAUAAUGGAAAAUGAGAAACUGGCUCAAGACUUCAAACUCCAUUAAAUAUUGUGAAAAUGGAUUGGAUUUGCAGCCAAAUUUUAAUGUAUGGUUUUGGAAAUCUCUGGCUUUCAUGCUAAUAUUAUAUUGAUGGAACUGACAUCAAUUCCAUUUAAUCUCAAAGUUCCAAACUAAAACAGAUUUGCAAGUAUUUCCAAAAACUCAGUGACACCAGUUAACCUAUAGGAAGGCCCUAAAUUAGCAGAAUCCAUGGUUCUCACCUCCAACUAGAAUUUAUCUGUCAAAAAUUUCAAGACAACAGAACAAGUAUCAAGAUAACAGAUACUCAUGUUACUACCUCUUGUCCUCUGCCACAACUCAUAAGCUUAACUAAAUGCACUUCAAAAAUUUAAGACACUCACACCUGUAAUCCUAGCACUUUGGGAGGCUGAGGUGGGAGGACUGCUCGAGGCCAGGAGCUCUAAACCAGCCUGGUCAACAUAGCUGAUACCCCAUCUCUACAAAAGAAAAAUUUAAAAAAAUUAGCCAGGUGUGGUGGCACACGCCUAUAGUCCCAGCUACUCAGAAAGCUGAGGCAGGAGGACUGCUUGAGCCCAGGAGUUCAAGGCUGCAUAAGCCAUGAUCGCGCCACUGUAUUCCAGCCUGGGAGACAGUGAGACCCUAUCUUUAAAAAAAAAAAACUACCAAAAAAUACUUAGACAAAUAUAAAUAUAAUUCACUGCCCUGCCCCACAACACUCUUUUCUGAGGUACAUAUCAUAAAACAUUGUUUUAUGGUGAAACACUGUGGUGAAA